rnacentral:lncRNA from 1 species
AGAUCCAUAAGCCAGAGCUGGGCUCAAAGAUGGUUCUGCCAGGACAGGAUCUCAGGGAGCAGGGGUGGAGACCAGACCUGUUGAAGGGGCAAGAUGUGCGUGUGUGUGCAGGGCACAGAUGCUGGGUGGGGAGAACUUGCGUGUCAGGAGUGGUGACUAUAGCCCAGGAUGGGUGGCUCUUUGGUCCUGCUAGGCCUCAGCCCCUCAUCUUUAAAGUCACCACUUCCACUGCCUUUCAGAGCUGCUGGGACAGUUAUGUGAGAGUGUGACAUAAAAUGAACACUGUAGAGGCUCCUUCCUGAGUUGUUACUGAGAGCGAGGAUUUAGGGGAGCUUCUAUAGAGAGGUGGGCCACAGAAGCUCAGAGGUUUUCAGAUUACAGUUUGUCAUGGCCUGAGCAGGAAAUCAGCUAGGCAGCAUCUCCAUCAGAACACUGCCGUCCCGCCACAUUUGACCGGCUAGAAUUCUCUUCAAGAACUAAAAGCAGUAUAUGUAAGAGAGCCCUUUGAAGUUGUGUAGACUAGGUUUGAAUUUUGGUUUCACCUUUGCCUUACGCUGACUGUUCAAUUACACUCUCUGAGCUUGAACACAUUAACAGGUACCCUCGGAUGGCUACUAGAAAUGAGCGAAGUGAGAUUGUAAUGUGAACUCGGUGUCUGGUGCCCACUAAGUGCCCAGUAUAUGUUAGCUUUCUUUGCUCCUUUGGAGACAGGUUGUUUGUCCAGCAGAGGAGAAAAGACUGGGUUGUCUGUGUUUCAGCUUGAUCAUUGUCAAAAUUUUCUUUCCCUUUUGGGGAGAUCUAUGGUCCCAAGGGAGUAUGAAUAGAGUUACGGGAGGGAGGGGAGUGUAGAACUCUGCAGUAUUGAACAUGGGGUGGGGUGGAUACAGCAGACAGAGAGAAGAGAGAGGGUACCACUGUGUGCUAUAAGGAAAAGCCAGGCAAAGACAUAACUCUCCUAUGAGUGAGGAGACAAGCGCUCUCAGCAUAGAAACUGUGACCUCAGGUCAAGGCUGUGAGAGAUCCUACAGCCAGCCAGGCUUCCUCUGAAAACCUCCAGGAGCUGUGGCCCAUCAAGAAAGGAAACAAUAGAAAGCAGACAUUAUUAAAGUGGGAAGAUGUUUUAAUUAUUUUUAGAGCCAAAAAAUUGCACCACAUAGUCAAGAUGUACAACAAAUCACCUAAGGUGGGUUCUAGACUUGAGCAAGUACAGGUGGGUGCAGAAGAGCAGCAGCCCAGCACGUGGACCGACAGCAGCUCUGAUUUGUGCUGGGACCCGUGUGACGGUGCUUUAUGAAUCCACAAGGCGACAUUUCUAGGUUCCUUAGCAGUCCUGUUGGUGCCUAACCAAGGUUUCUGGCCAUCUUGCAAUUUCGGGCAUCUGAAACAGUAUCCCAAAUACAUGGGGUGAUUUCAUUGUGUUCUUGCUAGACAAGGUCUAGCUGGGGGUGGGGGGAGGCCUCAGAAAAAAGGGUAAGCAUGUUUAACUGCAUCAAACUCAUGUACUACUGUUUGCUUCAAAUAAUCUGUAGGUUUGGGGAUUUUGUUUUGGUUUUGAUUUGUGUUUUUCCUUGAGAUGCUCUCCUAUGUAACCCUGUCAUACUUGGAACUCCGUCCUGCUGCCUCAGCCUUUAAGAGCUAGCUUUGGUGUGUGUAUUUGCACAUGCUCACUUAUUUAAGCCCUUGACAUACAGAAGAGAGUUAGGAUACAAGGUUUGCUAUGUGAUGCCAACAUUUUAAAAGUUAAAUUGAUUUUUUUUUUU